GCCACCAAAACAAGCACCAUCACCAAAGGCACAACCUCCUAAGGCUCCUGCACCAAUACCAACACCCGUACCAGUCGCUAAACCUCCCAAGGUAUCAAGCCCUUCACCAGUAAAGCCUGUGGAACCACCAAAGGUUUCUCUUCCGCCAGCACCAACUCCAGAGGCCACUGUCCCUCCACCUAUUUCAAAGCCACCAACUCCCAUUCAAUCUCCACCACCACCUGUUUCAGAACCACCAACUCUUAGCCCAAAACCAACUCCUGUUCAAUCUCCACCACCACCUGUUCCAGAACCACCAACUCCUAGCCCAAAGCCAACUCCUGUCCAAUCUCCACCACCACCAACCCCUACACCAAAGCCAGCUCCUAUUCAAUCUCCUCCACCACCAACUCCGGUUCCAUCUUCAAUCCCACCUGUUUCAAAACCACCAACUCCUAGCCCGAAGCCAACUCCUAUCCAAUCACCACCACCAAUCCCUACUCCUACCCCAGAGCCAACUCCUGUUCAAUCUCCACCACCACCUGUUCCAGAACCACCAACCCUAGCCCAAGCCUCCUGCUACACCAAAGAGUUCCAUCUCCAUCCCACCUCAAACCACCAACCUGCCAACUCCUUCCAAUCUCCCUACCACCAACAAUCUGUUCCAGAACCACCAACUCCUGUCCAAUCUCCACCACCACCAACCCCCACACCAAAGCCAGCUCCUAUUCAAUCUCCUCCUCCACCACCAACUCCGGUUCCAUCUCCAUCCCCACCUGUUUCAAAACCACCAACUCCUAGCCCGAAGCCAACUCCUAUCCAAUCACCACCACCAAUCCCUACUCCUACCCCAGAGCCAACUCCUGUUCAAUCUCCACCACCACCUGUUCCAGAACCACCAACUCCUGUCCAAUCUCCACCACCACCAACCCCUACACCAAAGCCAGCUCCUAUUCAAUCUCCUCCACCACCAACUCCGGUUCCAUCUCCAUCCCCACCUGUUUCAAAACCACAACUCCUAGCCCAAAACCAACUCCUAUCCAAUCACCACAACCAAUCCCUACUCCUCCCCCAGAGCCAACUACUGUUCCAUCUCCACCCCUACCUGUUUCAAAACCACCAACUCCUAGCCCAAAGCCAACUCCUGUCCAAUUACCACCACCAACCCCUACCCCAGAGCCAACUCCUGCUCAUUCUUCACCACCAACUCCUGUUCCAUCUCCAUCCCCACCUGUUUCAAAACCACCAACUCCUAUCCAAUCUCCACCACCACCAAUUCCUAGUCCAAAACCAACUCCUAUCCAAUCACCACCACUACCAACUCCUACCCC
rnacentral:lncRNA from 1 species